GACAGAGGGUGCAAACGUUGUUCGGAAUUACUGGGCGUAAAGCGCGUGUAGGCGGCUAUGCAAGUCGGAUGUGAAAGCCCUCGGCUCAACCUAGGAACUGCGUCUGAUACUGGAUGGCUUGAAUCCGGGAGAGGGAUGCAGAAUUCCAGGUGUAGCGGUGAAAUGCGUAGAUAUCUGGAGGAAUACCGGUGGCGAAGGCGGCAUCCUGGACCGGCAUUGACGCUGAGGAGCGAAAGCUAGGGGAGCAAACGGG
rnacentral:rRNA from 1 species